rfam:Streptomyces clavuligerus ATCC 27064 chromosome, whole genome shotgun sequence.
CCCGGACCGGCUCCUCCCCCCCCGAGCCGGCCGGAGAGACGACCCCCGCUCUCCCCCCCGGCGGGGGUCGUCGCAU